rnacentral:lncRNA from 1 species
UCCAUUUGCAGCUGGAUUGACCCGAAACGAGGGAACCAUUCCAGGUGUUGGAGUUGCAAUGCCAUUAACUAUCCCAUCUCUUGAUACAUCAGCUCAAGGAGAGCAGAAGCAGCCUCUUCCUGUUUCAAUUCCUUUAGGGGCACCUCCUCUUCCGCCUGGUCCUCACCCAUCCCUUCUUGCGGCCAACCAGCAGCAGGCAUAUCAACAAAAUCCUCCUCAAAUGCCACAACACCACCAGGCACUCCCACAGCAAAUGCCGCCUUUGCCUCUGCAGCCACCAAAUAUGUCACAGCUACAGCCUCCUUCCCAUUUACCCCUGCUACCACAUCCUCACUUACCUCGCCCUCCCCAGUUGCCCCCAAUGGGCAUGCCUUCAAAUAUUCCGUCUUCU